rnacentral:SRP_RNA from 1 species
GCCGGGUGCGGUGGCUCAUGCCUGUAAUCCCAGCAUUUUGGGAGGCUGAGGUGGGUGGAUCACCUGAGGUCAGGAGUUCAAGACCAGCCUGGCCAACAUGGUGAAACCCCAUCUCUA